AACUGCGAACGGCUCAUUAAAACAGUUAUAAUCUACUUGACAUUUCUACUUACAAGGAUAACUACGGAAAAGCUGUAGCUAAUACUUGCUUUAAUACGUUUGAUUCAUUUUUGUCUCUUACGUAUGUACUUGUUAAGCCUUUAAGAGAAAAGUUUACAACUUAAGGAAUUAUAACAAAGAAGUAACACAUAAUAAGUUUACCUUAUUUAGUGUGUAUCAAUCGAGUUUCUGACCUAUCAGCUUUUGAUGUUAGGGUAUUGGCCUAACAUGGCUAUGACGGGUAACGGGGAAUUAGAGUUCGAUUCCGGAGAGGGAGCCUGAGAAAUAGCUACCACAUCUAAGGAAGGCAGCAGGCGCGUAAAUUACCCAAUUCUAAAGAAGAGAGGUAGUGACAAGAAAUAACAAUACAAGGCCAUUUCAUGGUUUUGUAAUUGGAAUGAUGGGAAUUUAAAACCUUCCCAAAAUUCAAUUGGAGGGCAAGUCUGGUGCCAGCAGCCGCGGUAAUUCCAGCUCCAAUAGCGUAUAUUAAAAUUGUUGCAGUUAAAACGCUCGUAGUUGAAUUUCAAAGAAUCAAUAUUUUAAGUAAUGCUUUUGGUAUAAGAUGCUUAGGCAGUACAACGUAUCUGCUCUUUGCAUUCCUUAUCCAAAAUGUGUUCUUAUUAUAAAAAGGAUUCUUUUUAAAAUCUCCUUUACUUUUUGUACUGGAGAUUUUGUUACUUUGAGUAAAUUAGAGUGUUCAAAGCAAACAGUUAAAGCAUUUUACUGCGUUUGAAUACUACAGCAUGGAAUAACAAAAUUGAACAAGUCAAAACUCUGUUCCUUUUUCUUAUUUUGGCUUAGUUACGAUUAAUAGGAGUAGCUUGGGGGCAUUUGUAUUCAGAUGUCAGAGGUGAAAUUCUUAGAUUUUCUGGAGACAAACAACUGCGAAAGCAUUUGCCUAAAAUACUUCCAUUAAUCAAGAACGAAAGUUAAGGGAGUGAAGACGAUUAGAUACCGUCGUAAUCUUAACCAUAAACUAUGCCGACUAGGUUUUGGAUGAAAGAUUUUUAAAUAAGAAAAUUCCUUUUGGAAAUUUCUUAGAUUGCUUCCUUCAGUACCUUAUGAGAAAUCAAAGUCUUUGGGUUCUGGGGCGAGUAUUCGCGCAAGCGAGAAAGUUAAAAGAAUUGACGGAAGGGCACCACCAGGCGUGGAGCUUGCGGCUUAAUUUGACUCAACACGGGGAAACUCAUUAGUUUAAGACAAGAGUAGGAUUGACAGAUUAAUAGCUCUUUCUUGAUUUCUUGGAUGGUGAUGCAUGGCCGUUUUUAGUUCGUGAAUAUGAUUUGUCUGGUUAAUUCCGAUAACGAACGAGAUCUUAACCUGCUAAUUAGCGGCGAAUACGUUAUAUUCCUACUUGAAAUUGAAUAUAGCUGAAUUUGCUUAUUUUGAAGAAUAUAUUGGGAUACAUUAUAGUGUCCUUUUCCCUUUUCUACUUAAUUCGCUAUUCAUGCUGUUUCUUUUUUGUGUAGGAAUGUAUUCGUUUGAUUGUAAAGCU
rnacentral:rRNA from 1 species